rnacentral:rRNA from 1 species
AGAGUUUGAUCAUGGCUCAGAACGAACGCUGGCGGCGCGUUUUAAGCAUGCAAGUCGAGCGGCAAGGGUAGCAAUACCCCUAGAGCGGCGGACGGGUGAGUAACACGUGGACAACCUGCCCUUAGGUGAGGGAUAGCCCAGGGAAACCUGGAUUAAUACCUUAUAAGACCACUGAUAGGAGUAUGAGUGGGGAAAGGUGCUACGGCGCCGCCUGAGGAUGGAUCUGCGUCCCAAUCCCGCGGCCAUGGCGGCCGGGAGCAUGCGACGUCGGGCCCAAUUCGCCCUAUAGUGAGUCGUAUUACAAUUCACUGGCCGUCGUUUUACAACGUCGUGACUGGGAAAACCCUGGCGUUACCCAACUUAAUCGCCUUGCAGCACAUCCCCCUUUCGCCAGCUGGCGUAAUAGCGAAGAGGCCCGCACCGAUCGCCCUUCCCAACAGUUGCGCAGCCUGAAUGGCGAAUGGACGCGCCCUGUAGCGGCGCAUUAAGCGCGGCGGGUGUGGUGGUUACGCGCAGCGUGACCGCUACACUUGCCAGCGCCCUAGCGCCCGCUCCUUUCGCUUUCUUCCCUUCCUUUCUCGCCACGUUCGCCGGCUUUCCCCGUCAAGCUCUAAAUCGGGGGCUCCCUUUAGGGUUCCGAUUUAGUGCUUUACGGCACCUCGACCCCAAAAAACUUGAUUAGGGUGAUGGUUCACGUAGUGGGCCAUCGCCCUGAUAGACGGUUUUUCGCCCUUUGACGUUGGAGUCCACGUUCUUUAAUAGUGGACUCUUGUUCCAAACUGGAACAACACUCAACCCCUAUCUCGGUCUAUUCUUUUGAUUUAUAAGGGAUUUUGCCGAUUUCGGCCUAUUGGUUAAAAAUGAGCUGAUUUACAAAAAUUUAACGCGAAUUUUAACAAAUAUUA